ACAACAUCUUUGUAGGAUGCUUUAUGAAAUAUAGCAAUCUUAGCAUUGCAGAGUUCUAGUUUGCUCAGCCCAGAAAGCAGCAGAGGCAAAGAGAAAAUCACUGACUGGUUGUGCAGGCAGAAAAAACUAAAUAGGGACUCAUAACUGAAAAUACCAGGUGGAAUUUAUGUGAAAAUGACUGCUGGAAAUUUCCACAUAUCCUCUAAGUUCACGGUGAAAAAAUUUGGUGAAUUAUAAAAGGACUUGAGAUCAGGUUUUUAAAAGUGUAUUUUCAAUAGGGAAAAUAAGAAGAAAUGCAUUAUACCUUAAAUAUACUCUGUGUGAAGGAGAAAACAAGAGAAAGGACAGCAAUAGUGAGAAAGAGCCAGAGAGAAGGAGAGAAAAGACAAGUGAGGAAGACAGAGUGAAAGAAUAAAGUAUUGAGAAGAACGAAAGAGAAAGAAGGCAGAAAGAAAAUGAAAAAUCAACAAAUAUUUAAGAGUCAACCCUGUCCAUCUUUCUGUCUAAUAGGAGUGUCAGGAAUCAUAAUUUAUAAGAA